UACGUAGGGCGCAAGCGUUGUCCGGAAUUAUUGGGCGUAAAGAGCUCGUAGGCGGCCUGUUACGUCUGCUGUGAAAUCCCGGGGCUUAACCCCGGGCGUGCAGUGGAUACGGGCAGGCUGGAGGCAGGCAGGGAGAACGGAAUUCCCGGUGUAGCGGUGAAAUGCGUAGAGAUGUGGAGGAACACCGAUGGCGAAGGCAGCCCCUGGGUCAAGAUUGACGCUCAUGCACG
rnacentral:rRNA from 1 species